GUGGCGUGCUGUGCCUGGGGCGCUCUUCGACAGACACCUACCAAGUGCCUGCUGUGUGCCCAAAGCUGCAGGGAGGGGACGCAGAGCCUGUGUCCUGGCUUCUCUCAAGAAGACAGGAGCACGUCGAUUAUUUGUCCAAUAGUCACGGGACACCAUCUAAAGAAAUGUCUACUAUCAACUUCCUGAAUCAGAGGAGUUGAAGCUACAAAUUGACCUGCUCACAAGGAGAAGGGAUGGGGCCAUUCGCAAUAUUUUGGGAGUCAUCUUCCUGACACAUAGCAACUACAAGUGUGGUAAUGGCUCAGUGCUUCAAACCAAAGUGGGAAGGGCUGGUUGAAUUCACAAGUCCACAACAUGGGUAUUUUCAAAUGCCGUGGCAUUGCUCUUGCAGAUGCUAACGAGGGUCUAGUGAGCAGAAGUCCCUCUGUACCUGCCACAGUGAACACCCCAUCUGAAGUGAUCAGCCCACAUCCUGCCCUAAGUAACUUACACCCCAACCUCCUGAUCAUUUGACCUCUUAGUUUACCUACUAAGCUCUCUGUUCACCAAAAAACAUGAAGGGAGGCUGUAACCCAGGAGCUUGUGAACUGCGAGAUCCCAAAUCCCCAAUCUAUGUUGUCAACACCUGAGGUUUGGGGCACUUGGCACCCCUCCUCCCAUCUUCUUGCUGGAGUACCCCCCAGUUCCAAUAUCCUACCCAGCCAUAAAACUUGUUUGUGUCUUU